rnacentral:rRNA from 1 species
AUUGAACGCUGGCGGCAGGCCUAACACAUGCAAGUCGAGCGAGCGGCGGACGGGUGAGUAAUGUAUGGGGACUGCCCGAUAGAGGGGGAUAACAACGGGAAACGGUGGCUAAUACCACAUAAUGUCGGAAAGCCCAUAUGGGCGUAGCUAGUAGGUAAGGUAAUGGCUUACCUAGGCGACGAUCCCUAGCUGGUCUGAGAGGAUGAUCAGCCACACUGGGACUGAGACACGGCCCAGAUUCCGACGGAGGCAGCAGUGGGGAAUAUUGCACAAUGGGCGCAAGCCUGAUGCAGCCAUGCCGCGUGUAUGAAGAAGGCCCUAGGGUUGUAAAGUACUUUCAGUCGGGAGGCGUUACCGACAGAAGAAGCACCGGCUAACUCCGUGCCAGCAGCCGCGGUAAUAC